UACGUAGGGGGCAAGCGUUGUCCGGAAUUAUUGGGCGUAAAGAGCGUGUAGGCGGUCCGGUAAGUCGGCUGUGAAAGUCCAGGGCUCAACCCUGGGAUGCCGGUCGAUACUGCCGGACUAGAGUUCGGAAGAGGCGAGUGGAAUUCCUGGUGUAGCGGUGAAAUGCGCAGAUAUCAGGAAGAACACCCGUGGCGAAGGCGGCUCUCUGGGACGGUACUGACGCUGAGACGCGAAAGCGUGGGGAGCGAACAGG
rnacentral:rRNA from 1 species